GGCCAUACCAUGCUGAAUAUACCGGUUCUCGUUAGAUCACCGAAGUCAAGCAUCAUUGGGCACGGUCAGUACUUUGGUGGGUGACCACCUGGGAACACCGCGUGCCGUU
rnacentral:rRNA from 1 species